rnacentral:rRNA from 1 species
CAGCCAUGCCGCGUGCAGGAAGACGGCCCUAUGGGUUGUAAACUGCUUUUGUACCGGAAUAAACCCCCGUUCGAGAACGGGGCUGAAUGUACGGUAAGAAUAAGGAUCGGCUAACUCCGUGCCAGCAGCCGCGGUAAUACGGAGGAUCCAAGCGUUAUCCGGAUUUAUUGGGUUUAAAGGGUGCGUAGGCGGUCUGUUAAGUCAGGGGUGAAAGACGGUAGCUCAACUAUCGCAGUGCCUUUGAUACUGAUGGACUAGAAUAUACCUGAGGUAGGCGGAAUGUGACAAGUAGCGGUGAAAUGCAUAGAUAUGUCACAGAACACCGAUUGCGAAGGCAGCUUACUAAAGUAUGAUUGACGCUGAGGCACGAAAGCGUGGGGAUCAAACAGGAUUAGAUACCCUGGUAGUCCACGCCCUAAACGAUGAACACUCGAUGUUGGCGAUAUACGGUCAGCGUCAAAGCGAAAGCGUUAAGUGUUCCACCUGG